CGUUUGAGAUGAGCAGGACUCUGUGUCAGGGUGCUGAUGUGGGAAUGAGGGGCUAUUUCUUCCCCCUGGGGCCAUCAUCCAUGUGUCACCCCCUUCUCCUGAACUUCUGUCUGCCUAGAUAGAUAGAUAACAAAGCUCCUACUAUGUGUGCUAGGCACUGGGCAUAAAAAAAAGGGAGGGGGAAGAAUGCAGUUCUUACCCUUAAGAAACUUAAACUUAAGGGGUGGGUGGGAGGGUAUAGCCUCUAAAGGGAAGCUAGAAGGGUAGGGAGAGAGGGGAGGUACCCAUGGGGGCAAGGCAUUGAUCAUGUAGGCAAAAAGCAGUCUGACAGCACCUCGAAUCCCACCUGUCCUUGGGCUGCCGUCUCCAGGGACCUUUCUUCUGGGUGUCACCCCCACUCCCGUCCUCUGUCAGCACUCCGUCUCCUCUCCUGGCAGGACUGUUCCACAACCUUCCUGGCAGGGUGGGGAGUAGCUGCCGCCACAGUCCUGGGACUUUGCACUGAAGCAAGAAGAUGGACAUCUUCCUCUUGUCUAAAGUCAGGAGUCGCCACACUGGUGCUUCCCCACAUGGAACCCGCCCUUAGGAGGCAGCCCUGGCCCUGCUUCUGGAGCUCUUGGAGCAAACUCCGGAGGCCAGCGGAGGGGCAUUGCCCAGGGCAUCCUCUUCACGGCUGCCUUUGCAUGUCCAGCACUCAGCUCGGUGCCCAGCCCGGGGAGCUUCUUGAGAAAUGCCUUUUGUAAUUGUUACAUCAUGAAACCUACUUGGGUUUUCUUGGCAAAUGGAGCAGCUUGCCAUUUCUUUCUCAAGCUCAUUUGACAGAUGAGGAAACUGAGGCAGAGUUAAAUGACUUGCCCAGGGUCACAAGUUAGUGUCUGAGGUCACGUUGGAACUUGGGUCUUUCUGAUUCCAGGCCUGGUGUUUUAUCACUGUGCUACCUAACGCCCCUUAUAAAGGCUAAUUAAGCCUCACAAGACACAACUUAGAGACAAUGUCCUCCUUCUUCUCAUGACCUCCUAAAUGCCA
rnacentral:lncRNA from 1 species